rfam:Gorilla gorilla gorilla genomic chromosome, chr1, whole genome shotgun sequence
GCCAGGCUGAUAGGAUGUCCACAUUAAGUUCAGCAUCAGUAUGGUGAUCUCCAGGGAGCAGGGGACCACCUGGUUGCCUAAAGAGGUGUGAACUGGCCCAGGUUGGAAAUAGAGCAGAUCCAAACUCCCACGUGCUGAUCAGUAGUGGAAUCGUGCCUGUGAGAGGC